CUUUGCUUUGGCUUUUCUUUCCUAAGGAUAUCUCCAUAUUCACUGGGCCCCCAAGAAUAUAUAUCUAGAUCUAGAUAUAUAGUUACACACUGCUUACUUCUCCAAGUCAUGAAAAGAUCUAGGAGCAACCUGGGAUUGGCUUUCUUUGGACUGGAGGAGAGAUCACUGGGGAUGAAUAGUUCCAUCUGUAGAUACAGUGAAAUGUCACAACAAAAGUCUUACCAGCUGCCCUGAGCAAAAGUUUGUUCUUUCCCCCAUCACUGUUGGUGCAAGAAAGAGGCUUUAAGAAUCCACACCCAAAUGGAAAAGAUGACAGCUCUGCUUUCCCUUUCAAGUGGAGAUAAUUCUCCCCCCCUCAUUGUCGGUGAAGUGGGCAAAGGAAUUUCAGUUGCCUGCUGCUGCUGCUGUAGUAACUACUACCACCAGUGGCUGGGUUUCCUGCAGAAUACAAGGAAGAUCACACGCACCACAAAACCAGUCAGAGAGUCUCUGCAGUCAGAUGGUUCUGCUAGUUGAUAGGCAGUAGUAAAAUCUGUUUCUGAUACCCCAGAGGAUCCUCAGAGGGAUGACUGUCUCUUCUUUGGACUGUCACUCUGUCCACCAGAGACUCCUUUAGCUGCCUCUCCAGCUGCAUGCCCCGCCUUGAUAUAUCAGCUGUUAAUUCACUCUCCAUGGUCUCUAGGUUUUCCCGUGUUCUAGCAAGCAUUGUGUAAUAGUUCAGAGACUGCUUUUCACUUAAGUGUCACAUAGCAAACUCAACUUCAGGAACAAACUGGUAAUCUGUUCUUUUGAGCCUCCUCAUUUCAAGAGCUAAGCAUUCUUUUAAAAUGUAACAUACCUUUUUCAAAAGCUGGAAAUCACAAGAUUUUCCACCAUCUUCCAACUAGUAGUCAAAUACUCACACUGGAAGUUUUUCCCCGUUCUUGAGUUUCAAGCAAGCGAAUUUUGCUACUUUUCUUGGAAUGUGCUGAUAACCUGCAGAUGUUUAUAAGAGCUGCCAGCACAAAAUGUUUGAAAAACGUUCAGACAGUGUUGGCGUUCCAUUACAUAAAGUUCCAUGGAGCUGCAGUGAGUGACCAGUAAGAUAAGACAUGCAUAAUAAUAAUGAAUGAGAGUCUUGUAACCAGCUACUCUCAGAGUUUACUUCACUGAACUAUUUUAUUAAUCAAAGCAAAAGAAAAAUAUGGCAGAAAACCAGGCUACUGCACUAAGAUAACAGGGAUUCUGAGCUAAAUAUCCAGUUCUUUCGCUCCUCUGCUACCGUUUCUGCAUAGUAAGCAGUGCACUAUGAAAUUCCAGGAGGGGAAAAGAAAUAGACCGUUCAGAUUUCCCUGAUAGAUUUAUGGCAUAAUAAAUAGCAAGCAGGCUGUGCACCAGAUCCAAUUAUUCACUCAUUUCUUUGAACUGCAAGUCGCCAAAGACAAAAUUCUGCAGCUGGUAGCAGAAGAUUAAGUCUGGACACAAUAUAUGGUAGUCCCAGAUUACAUUCAGCAAAAGAACUAAUAUUUCCUCAUCACUGUUUUUGUACCCAUAUACAAUCAAUCAAUUAAUCAAUCAAUCUUUGUUAUGGUCUCAGAGCAGCACAAGGUAAAAGGAGCAUGUAACAGGUGAUAUAAAAAGCAAUUAAAAACAGACAAAAGCGACAGCAUACACAAAACUUGGCACAGGAAGUAAUAGGUUUUAUAAAAACAAAAAUUGCAAAUAAUGUAGAUUUUUAUUUCAUUUUACAAUAGUUAUCCAUUAUUAGGAGUCCCUCCCCUCAACCUCAGUACAGUGAUUGCACCACUGGUUGCCACAGCGCUCAAAACAGAAUCAUUGCCUAGAUUUGUUUUGUCGUGAAGUCUGCAAACGACUGGGCUAAACUGGAAGAAAGUGCUGCUACACUACAUGGAAGACUGCAUGAAAGUACUGAAUGUGAAAUUGUUCCACACAGUGGCUCUUUUCAUGUAGUGAGCUAUUCCUGUGAAGCAGCCCACUGCACUGUUGAGGCAGUUUUCUCCUGCCAGCACAAAUCUUUAUAUUUUCGGUUAUUUUUUCAUUAAUUUUAUUAAAACGGUUAUACACUAUCUUUUGUACUGAAGCACUGUGUCAGCUCACAACGAGGAAAACAGAAUACACACAAAAAGCAUAAAAUAAACAACAAAUUCAGACCACAGCAGAAAACAUAACACAGCAUCUCCAGACUAAAAAGGGCCUUUAUUUGCUGUGGAACGGUUGGCAGCAAGAGGGCACCAUGCCCCUCCUCAGGGUAGGCGUUGUUAAUGAAACAGCCCUGAGGGUGAUUGGCCUGCACCCCUCAUUCAGGCGAGUGUGGGGAAUUUAGCUCAAAAGGGGAGACAGUUCCAAUCAGCCUGAGUUUGUGCAAGCGUAUGAACUCAAGACAAUUGGCUUGAGAGAGAGGUUUGAAUUUUUUUUUAAAGGAGUUUAUUAAAACUAAAAUCAGACUAAAUUACUAUGUGGCCCUAGUUGGGUUAUGGAGUUAGGGAUACUUAUAGCCCAAAACGUGCCUUGAGGGCACAUUUAUUUUGUCCUGCUCUGCUGAAUAGGGGAACCCAGGAAACCUUUUUUAAAAAAAAAUGCAUUGUGUUUUAGUCCUUCCUGGGUAGGAAUGUGUGUGAAUCGCCUAUGGCAUUGUGAGGACAAUUGGAGUGCGCAGGUGCAUUUAAAUAAAAUUCUGUGCUGGAGAGGGCUUACCAAUAAUUCUAUCAAGAGUUUCGAUGGGCACCUUUUCAAAGUUACAUCACUGACUCGUCCCUAUUCUAAUGGAGUCCUUUGUCUUAUCUUCCUUGCCUUCCUGGCCUGAGUGCUUAGUUAACAACAGGUGUUAUCUCUCUUGAGGAAGAGGGGAGUUUAGAUUUCAUUCCGAAAUGAUCUUGAAUGCCAGACACUUGCAGUUGCUAGUUCUGGAGUCUGCUUAGCCAGAGCCCAUCACAGAACAAGGAUCUAAUCUCCUUUCCAAUUUGUGGGGCUUGCAGCCAAAUCUAGGGGUGACCAGUCCACUGCCAACUAAGUGACUUGUCCCCAUGUAUAACAUAGACUGGGAGCUCACGCUGAGGUGCAGCUCCUGAGCAUAGCAAAAAUGCAAUCUCCAAGCCUGGUGAUGCAGUUGCAACCAGGGAGGCUUCUGGGAGUGAGCAGAAUCAGCUCAGCUGGUAACAGCACUCCAGAGCCCUAGUGCCAAGAAAAACCUGUUGGAGAUGAACUUCCAGUGCAUCGACCUUUUGCACCAACUGUCCUAAUGACCACUAGGGGCAUUGAGAGUAGAGACAGUGAGUCAGGGUCUCCCUAUCUUUCCCUACUCUAUGACCCCUGAACUGACUCUGCAGCACUUCCUGUGCUGAGUCACAAUCCUUCCUUUCCUCCUAGAGAGCAGAUGGAAACAUCUCUCUCUCUCUCUCUCUCUCUCCUUACCUAUACACUAUGUAGUCCUUUAGAUUAGAUAUAGGUCUUUCCUAUCUAAGUGUAUUUAACCAAUAAAUGUUUAGUGUUUAGUCAUACAAGGAUCUCCAUGUGUUUUCUCUAAACAGCUGCAAUAUCCAAACCAUCCUCUGCUACCUACUCUGUAACUGGAGUGUGUGCUCAUUCCUUAGUGCUCUGCUGUUUUACCUAUUGUGGGUAAAAAUCAGCAACCUCUAACAAAACCUUUCCUUGUUUUGGAGGAAAUCACCUUAAUGGUAUAGGAGCCCACUCCAAGGGCUACCUUCCAUGAGGUGAGAGGAGGCGAUGUCUUCAGAUGGUGGACACCAGAGGGUGGCAAGCAUUGCCACUUCACUCUGCCCUCCUCACUCAUCACAAUGAGUACCACCCUACCUGUCUCUCUUUUAUCUCCCCUGCUCUACUGCACCAGAGUGCACAAAUCUACUUUUUGUCCACCAUGCCCCACCAGGGCAUGCUUUAUGCAGGCACAGCUUGGCUGUUGCUGCUGCAGCUCCUCAUUUCCACUCCUCCAUCUUCCAGAAGAAAAAGGGGUCUUCCCCAAAACCUCACCUCCUUCACUUCCUUUUUCAGAAGGAGGAAGAAAGUGGAGACAGUGCAGUUGGUGGCUGCUGCAGUGGUGCUAAUGGUGGGUGUUGCCCAUUUACUGUGCAAUCUGGCAAGGGGCAAGAGAAGGCACAAUCCAGCAGGGAGUAGUAAGAGAGAGAAGGCACACCCCAGUGGGGGAGGGAGACAGAGAAAGGCGAGAGGAGGCACAAGCUUGCCUUGGCAGGGAGAAGGGAGAGUGGACAGGAAGAGUGCCAAUGGAAGGAGAGGGGGAAGCAUGCCCCACCCAGGUGGAGUGAAGUGCAAUUCCAGAAGGGGGUGAGGAUGUGCACCCCAGCAGGAUGGCAUUUGGCACUUUGCCUGAAGGGGCCACUCUGCCCACUCCACACAGUUAGUGGAUUACACCAACUUUCCAGAGUGAAAUUUUACACAAAUUGAAAAAAAAUGCUAAUUUGGAUAUUUUAGAAUUUGCAGUUUUGCAUUCUGAAUGUUAACAUCUUUUGGGAUUCCAUAGUUUGGGGUCACAAGCAACAUGGUCAUCUUGAGUUUCAAACCCUCACAUCUACUGUAGAUUUAAAAAACUCAAAUUUUCCUUGUUUUGAAACCACUCACUACUGACUGAAUUCAAUUGUUUUUAAUAUACCAAAUUCUGCCUCCUCCCGCCCCAUUGUGCAUCACUAGUAGUAAUAAAAAUAAUGAAUUCCCUCUACUUCUUAGAAUGCUAUAUUAAGCUGACUGGAACAAAUUUAGCAAUCUAUAUUUAGAUCAGUUGUCUGUACUAUUCAUAGCAGAAGCAGAUGCAAGAAAGCUGUGUGGCUUAAUAAUUUAUAUGUAAUGCUUGCCUUAAACUUAAAUAAAAUACUUUUAAGCACUC